rnacentral:misc_RNA from 1 species
AACUGAUACUACCUGCGGGAACCUGCGGAGGGAUCAUUAAAUAAAAAACACAAAAAUUAUCCACUUACUGACUUGGGUCGUUCUUCUCUGUAACGGGGGAGAAUACCUGUCAGCAAAGCACCGUGAUGUGUUAAAGUCCAUAACCCUUUUUUUUCAUUAAAAAGGGGUAACUUUAUAAAACCCAUCAAAUAAACUAGCCUAAAAAGCGAGAAAAAGGGUGAAAAGUGAGAAGAAGAGUAU